UAACAAAUUGUCCUCAAGUAUCCCAUGUA
rnacentral:piRNA from 1 species